rnacentral:rRNA from 1 species
AAUCAAGCGUUUAAGGGCGUGUAGUGGAUGCCUUGGCACUGAAAGCCGAUGAAGGACGUGAUAUACUGCGAUAAGUUUCGGGGAGCUGUAUGUAAGUUUUGAUCCGAAAAUUUCCGAAUGGGGAAACCCACCACUUUAUGUGGUACUUUAAACUGAAUACAUAGGUUUAAAGAGACAACCUGGAGAACUGAAACAUCUAAGUAACCAGAGGAAAAGAAAUCAAUUGAGAUUCCGUUAGUAGUGGCGAGCGAACGCGGACUAGGCCAGUAGUUUUGUUAAAAAAAUUUGAAUAGUUUGGAAAUGCUAACCAUAGAGGGUGAUAGUCCCGUAUGAGUAAUGUUUAACAAAAUUCUUGAGUAAAGCGGGACACGUGAAAUCCUGCUCGAAUAUAGGGGGACCACCCUCUAAGCCUAAAUACUCUUCAGUGACCGAUAGUGAACUAGUACCGUGAGGGAAAGGUGAAAAGAACCCCUAUUAGGGGAGUGAAAUAGAACCUGAAACUGCAUGCCUACAAUCAGUCGAAGCUCUUUUUAGAGUGACGGCGUACCUUUUGUAUAAUGGGUCAGUGACUUAAUUUAUUAAGCAAGCUUAAGCCAUCUAGGUGUAGGCGCAGCGAAAGCAAGUCUUAAUAGGGCGAUUAGUUUAAUGAAUUAGACCCGAAAACGAAUGAGCUUACCAUGAGCAGGUUGAAAGUUGGGUAACACCAACCGGAGGACCGAACCAGUUGACGUUGAAAAGUCUUUGGAUGACUUGUGGUAAGGGGUGAAAGGCCAACCAAAUUCGUAGAUAGCUGGUUUUCCGCGAAAACUAUUUAGGUAGUGCGUUGAAUAAAUAGAUGUUUAGAGGUAGAGCACUAAAUGGGCUAGGGGGAAGAGAUUCUUACCAAACCUAAUAAAACUCCGAAUGCUAGACAUUGUUCUUCAACAGACAGACUGUGGGUGCUAAGGUCCAUGGUCGAGAGGGAAAGAGCCCAGACCACCAGAUAAGGUCCCAAAAUUAUGAUUAAGUGUGAAAGGAUGUGGAAAUUCCUUAACAGCCGGGAGGUUGGCUUAGAAGCAGCCAUCCUUUAAAGAUAGCGUAACAGCUCACCGGUCUAAUAGAGUUUCUGCGCCGAAGAUGUAACGGGGCUAAAAUCAUAUACCGAAUCUGUGGGUUUAUAAAACUUUCGAGUUUUAUAAGCGGUAGCGGAACGUUCUGUAAGCCUGUGAAGGGAUACCCGUGAGGGAUCCUGGAGGUAUCAGAAGUGCGAAUGCUGACAUAAGUAACGAUAAAAGAAGUGAAAAACUUCUUCGCCGAAAAUCCAAGGGUUUCUGCGCAAGGUUAAUCCGCGCAGAGUUAGUCGGCACCUAAGGCGAGGGCGAAAGCCGUAGUCGAUGGAAAUAAGGUUAAUAUUCCUUAACCAGAUGGUAGUGACGGAUCUUGUAAGUUGUGUACUCUUAAUGGAUUGAGUAUGCCGCGAAAAGGUUCCAAGAAAUAGCUCCAUCAUUAGACCGUACCCUAAACCGACACAGGUGGAUUAAUAGAGUAUAUUUAGGCGCUUGAGAGAAUGAUGUUGAAGGAACUCGGCAAAAUGCUUCCGUAACUUCGGGAUAAGGAAGACCUGUUUUUAGGCAACUAGAGAUGGGUGGCACAAGCCAGGGAGAAGCGACUGUUUAUCAAAAACACAGGGCUCUGCUAACACGUAAGUGGAUGUAUAGGGUCUGACGCCUGCCCGGUGCUGGAAGGUUAAUGCGGUUGGUGCAAGCUAACUUCUGAAGCCCCAGUAAACGGCGGCCGUAACUAUAACGGUCCUAAGGUAGCGAAAUUCCUUGUCGGGUAAGUUCCGACCUGCAUGAAUGGCGUAACGAUUUCUCCGCUGUCUCCAACAUCAACUCAGUGAAAUUGAAUUCUCCGUGAAGAUGCGGAGUUCGCGUAGUUAGACGGAAAGACCCCGUGCACCUUUACUGCAACUUUACAUUGGUAUUAGGAAAAACAUAUUUAGUAUAGGAGGGAGACAUUGAAGCAAAGGCGUCAGCUUUUGUGGAGUCACCAGUGAAAUACCUCUUUUGUUUUUCUUGGUAUCUAACUGAUUGCCGUCAUCCGGCAUCAAGACAUUGUAUGGUGGGUAGUUUGACUGGGGCGGUCGCCUCCCAAAUAGUAACGGAGGCGUGCGAAGGUAGGCUCAGAACGGUCAGAAAUCGUUCGUAGAGUGCAAUGG